UGGGGAAUAUUGCACAAUGGGCGCAAGCCUGAUGCAGCCAUGCCGCGUGUAUGAAGAAGGCCUUCGGGUUGUAAAGUACUUUCAGCGGGGAGGAAGGGAGUAAAGUUAAUACCUUUGCUCAUUGACGUUACCCGCAGAAGAAGCACCGGCUAACUCCGUGCCAGCAGCCGCGAUAAUACGGAGGGUGCAAGCGUUAAUCGGAAUUACUGGGCGUAAAGCGCACGCAGGCGGUUUGUUAAGUCAGAUGUGAAAUCCCCGGGCUCAACCUGGGAACUGCAUCUGAUACUGGAAAGCUUGAGUCUCGUAGAGGGGGGUAGAAUUCCAGGUGUAGCGGUGAAAUGCGUAGAGAUCUGGAGGAAUACCGGUGGCGAAGGCGGCCCCCUGGACGAAGACUGACGCUCAGGUGCGAAAGCGUGGGGAGCAAACAGG
rnacentral:rRNA from 1 species